ACCGGGGCGCCGCUGAGCGAGGCGAGGUGACGGAACCGUCCCCGCAGUCCGAGCCCGCAGCCUGAAACCCGCAGCGAUGCCGCGGCCGACCUCCUCUGCGGAGGCUGACGCAGCGAUGCCGUGCGGGCAGCCGCAGCGGGGACACCGCGACGCCCGCCUCCUCCUCUGGCUCGGCCCCGCAGCCCCCGCCCUCCGCCGCGCCACGCAACGUCCUACCUGCAGGUGACCUGUUUCGUCCAGCCGCCGCCGCUGCCGUCGCUGCCGCCGCCCCCUCCUCCCGCCCCCGGGGACGGGGCAGCGACUGUGGGGAUAGAGGCACUGUCAGAAUCCCUGCUGAUGGAAGGGCCCAGGUGGGCCUGUGGCAGACAUCUUAGAAUCCCACCAAUGUCAAGGCUUGAGUAUCGCAACGGCUGCAAGUUCGAGCCCAGCCCAGGCUAAAUAGAGCCUGUCAAAAAUAAUAAGUCAUGAUGUAAAUA
rnacentral:lncRNA from 1 species